UACGUAGGGGGCAAGCGUUGUCCGGAUUUAUUGGGCGUAAAGAGCGUGUAGGCGGCUAGGUAGGUCCGUUGUGAAAACUCGAGGCUCAACCCUCGAGACGUCGAUGGAAACCAUCUGGCUAGAGUCCGGAAGAGGAGAGUGGAAUUCCUGGUGUAGCGGUGAAAUGCGCAGAUAUCAGGAAGAACACCCGUGGCGAAGGCGGCUCUCUGGUACGUGACUGACGCUGAGACGCGAAAGCGUGGGGAGCGAACAGG
rnacentral:rRNA from 1 species